ACGCUCGACACCUACGGGAGGCAGCAGUGAGGAAUAUUGGUCAAUGGGCGCUAGCCUGAACCAGCCAAGUAGCGUGAAGGAUGAAGGCUCUAUGGGUCGUAAACUUUCUUUUAUAUAAGAAUAAAGUGCAGUAUGUAUACUGUUUUGUAUGUAUUAUAUGAAUAAGGAUCGGCUAACUCCGUGUCAGCAGCCGCGGUAAUCUGAGCGGGCUGGCAAGGC
rnacentral:rRNA from 1 species